CAAUAGCGUAUAUUAAAGUUGUUGCAGUUAAAAAGCUCGUAGUUGGAUUUCUGGUUGAAGCGACCGGUCGGGCGUUGAUUCGUCUGCACUGGAGUCGGUUUUGGCCAUCCUCUAGGAAAGUGCGUCUGGUAUUAAGUUAUCGGGCGUAUGAUCCUGGUCUUUUACUGUGAAAAAAUUAGAGUGUUUAAAGCAGGCCUUCGCCUUAAAUACAUUAGCAUGGAAUAAUAAGAUAGGACUUUGGUCUAUUUUGUUGGUUUGCAGACCGAAGUAAUGAUUAAUAGGGAUAGUUGGGGGUAUUUAUAUUCCGAUGUCAGAGGUGAAAUUCUUAGAUUUUCGGAAGAUAAACUUAUGCGAAAGCAUUUACCAAGGAUGUUUUCAUUAA
rnacentral:rRNA from 1 species